GUGCUUGCUUCGGCGGCACAUAUCCUAAAAUUAGAACAAUACAGAGAAAGUUAGCAUGGCUUCUGCAUAAGGAGGCAGCACAAAUUUUUGAAGCAUUCCAUAUUCUG
ensembl:snRNA U6 U6 spliceosomal RNA